AUGGCAGCUCCAGAGUCUGAAAUCCUCUCCUUAUCCACAGAAGAAAAGAGCAUAGGCAGCAGCAGUACAAGUUGCCCCACAGUCUCUCCCCAUGUGCUGCCAGUGUGCCCUGGAGGAACCACCUUCUAGGGGUGAGUAGGUAGCUCAGCCUCCAUGCACAUUCAGUCUAACAGCUCUA
rnacentral:sRNA from 1 species